UCCAUCCCCUUCCCUUCUUUUCUCCUCAAACCCGCUCCAAAAUGUGAACUUUAUGCAAUUCCUCGGUACCCAUUUCCCUUUGCAUUAAGUAUGGCUCCCAAAACCUCUACUUUUGGGCACUACCCCGCCUUCAUCCGAUUUGAUGGAAAAUUUUGGCUUUGAUCCGAAAUAGCGUCCACGUUGCAGUUGCAGACAGUGGCGGUGGCAGAGAGAGACCCAGUGGCAUGGCGCCUGCACUCUGCGGCAUGCCUAUUCCCACUUCCUUCCUGUGCUCUCCACCGAAUUGUCCUUUCGAAGAUGCAGACCAGGACGAAAAUAAAGGUGUGGCCUGUGUUUCUCUGAGGUAAGAAGAAAACCCCAUUGCUUCUUGAGUUUUGGAUCUCUGCAAUAGCCAUUUUAAUUUCCUUCAACAGCGAAAAAGAAUCCAGCGCCCACGGCUUUAGUUUGUUAACAACCUCAGUUUUGGCCUAUAAUACGGUAUUCUUUUGUCAUUCAAUGUUCUUCUCUUGAUUAUUUUUUUGGUUUUGUUGUUCGUUUUAAUUUUUUUUUGCAUGUUUACUCAACAACCAUUGCUUAUGUUGUGAUUUGAUCAUGCUAAAUUUGGCUUGCUGUGUAGCUAGUGAUAAAAAAGAUAAUCAUUUUCCUUUUAGAAAACGUUAACUGUCAUGUGGUUACAUUGUUGGUGAAAUAGGUUAUAAGUUAUGUGUUUGCUGAAAUGUCUAAAUGAAGUUUUAGAAACUAGGCAAAUUGUUCACCUUUGUUGGUACAGAUCACUAUAAAUGAUGAAAAAAUUAUGAAGUUGUAAUCACAAUGACUGGCAAACACGUCUUGGGUGAGGGUAUAGUGUACAAAGUAAAUAAAAGCGAAACUUGAUUAGAUUGUGAAUAAAUAUGCCUCCCAUGGCCUAAACAUAAAGGUCCAUCUAAGAAAAUGGGCAAAUAUUAAAAUAUCUUCUGUUUUUUGGCUUGAUCCAUCUUGUUGUUUAAAGUGUUAAAAUAUGUUUUGCCUAAAUGAAGUUUUAGAAACUGGACAAAUUGUUCACCUUUGUUAGUACAGAUCACUAUAAAUUAUGAAAAAAUUGUGACGUUGUAACAACUAUUGAGAUUCAAUAUCAGCUAUGAUUGAGUAUGCAAUGAUGGGUGGCCCUUGGCUUAGUUCCAUUGGCUGUUGUUUUAUGUUUUUGCCCUUCAAAUCGUGUAAUGCUAUUCUGUCUGUCUUUUUGAUAAAAGAAAAAUUGUUGCUUCUCAUUUUUACAUGCUACAGUGUCAAAGAGAGAAAUAGAGAGAAAGAGAUAGACACAAAGACACAAGUUUUGCAGGAAUAAACAAGUAAAUUCAAGAAGUCACCACUGUUCCAAUCAGCCCCUUUCAUUUUGCAGUUCCUAUUUAUUUUUUCGUGUUUCCAUUCACCAUUCCACAGAAGGGAAAAACAUUGCUUUGUUCCAUCUUUUUCUGUGGUGUGUCUCAAGAUUGGUGUGUGUCCUCAAGAUUAAAGUUCACUCAACCAUAGCAGCAACAACCCUUUUACUUAACUCUUGAAAGUUUGUUUAAAAUUUGGAUUUUCAGUGAUCAUGAUCUAAUGAAGGAGUCUCAGGGGGCAAGGAAGAAUAAGAGCACACAAAGCAAGUGUUGUAAAUCACACUUUGUAUGCAGAGUCAACAGAGAAUGAUGAUUCAGACUCAAUUUUAAAACACAAUCUAUACCAUACGUUUUGCAAAGGAUCAUUAUUGUUGAUUUUUUGUACUUUAGCACCCAAAAAUAGUUUAUCCCUUGACUUAGUUCCACUACCUACUGUUAGUUGUUAUCGUAUUAUCAUCCGGACUCAAUAUUUAAACACACAAAUACCAGCCGUUUGGAAAAUGACCAUUAUUCUAGAUCUUUUGUACUUGAGGUUACAUAUAUUUUUCUACAUUUUUUCCACAAAAUGAUGGCUCGUAUUCUAGACAAGAUACAAGACAUAAAUGGAUCCAAAGAAACCCUGAAACUUGCUGUCAGGAUAACUGAUCUUUGGUUUGUGGGAACACCGAACAAGCCUGAGCAAGCUGAGAUGGUUAUAGUGGAUUCCAACGUAUCAUUACUAUUUUUUUUUUGGGGUGGGUUUUGUCUUUUGUUAAUUAUUUUCCUGACUAACCAUUUGUUACAUUCUUUGCCAUAACCAGGGAGACCAAAUUCAUGCGGUUUGUAAGCGAGACCAACUCAAGUCUUAGAAGCCGAUUUUGAAAGAAAAAUGCACUUAUAUGAUGCACAAUUUUAAAGUGGUCAAGAAUGAUGGUCAAUAAAGAGUUUGUGUGCACCCGUAUAAAUUAGUAUUUACUGGAGUUACUAUUUUUAGACAAACUAAUUUGGUUAAUGUGCCUUUAAGAAUACACAAUUUUAUUCAAUUUACCAAUAUCAUUGCUGGUGACUUUUAGUAUGGCCUGCUAGUAGGUCCAACUAUCAUUUUACCUUCCAUUUUAAAAAACUUUAUUCCAACCAUUGCAACCAUCUUUUUAUAACAUGUUUUCAUAUUUUAUCCUUCAUUAGACAUUAUUGGUGUCAUUGAUGAGGUCGUCUUCCAACAAGUUUCAUCAAAGAGUACAAGGAUUGUUUUUAAGCUGAAGGACUUGAGGUUGUCUUAUUCAUUUUGUUCCUUCAUUUUAAAUUGUGGUUGUAUGUAUGUUUACAAACUGCAUAGUAUAUGGUUGACUGAUAUAUUUCUAUCAUCUUUCUAAUCUUAUGACCGUCUUGGAUUAUAUAAUAAUGUUAUGAGUUUCAUUUGUUUAUGAUAGUGGCCAAUUGUUAUCCUGCACUCUGGGAAGAUUAUUGCUUGCAGUUCUUGGAGUACUUAAAUGAGUGUGAAAGUCAGGGACCAAUAAUUAUUUUGUUGACCCAUGCUAGGAUUAAAGAAGCCCAGUGUAUUGUGUCAUGUGCAAUUAGUCCAUUAUUCUACUGCUUAGAUCUCAUCUUAUGUUCCUCUUUUGCCAUUUGUAGGAUCCUACCCACCAAGCAUAAGUAACUCUUUAAAAGCUUCAUAAUUGCAUAGAAAUCAACCAAUGCCAGAAAUUGAAGAAUUCAAACAAAGGUAUUGUGGUUUAAUGUUUCCUUACUUUGAUUAUCUUUGUCAUGGUCUUUCAUAUGAAUUCUUGAUGUCAAGCUUCAAAAUUGCAUAAAAAUCAAACGAUGCCUUAAAUUCAAGAAUUCAAACAAAGGUAUUGUGGUUUAACGAUGCCUUGCUUUGAUUAUCUUUGUCAUGGUCUUCAUAUUAAUUCUUGAUGUCAAGCUUCAAAAUUGCAUAUAAAUCAAUCAAUGCCUCAAAUUCAAGAAUUCAAACAAAGGUAUUGUGGUUUAAGGUUGCCUUGGUUUGAUUAUCUCUGUCAUAUGAAUUCUUUAUGUCUAGGCUUAACGAAUUAGGCAUUAAAGUCCACUCAGUUAUAACACCUCACAGUCAAACAACUUCACAAGUUUCAGGUUCUAGCCAAUUGUCAUCAAAGGAUGCAUUUUUUUUAUAAGGCUGAGGCAAAGAGCCUUUUUGAGAUUAACAUGUUAGAGGAAAUUGUUUGUGUAACAGUGGGUACCAUUACCAAAAUAGUAAUGGAAAAUCAUUCAUGGUGUUAUGUAGCUUGCAUCCAUUGUUACAAGAAAACUGAUGUAGACACCAUUCCUUUCACAUAUGCAUGCGGUAAAUAUAAUCAACAGGUUGUGCUAAGGUCAUUAACAGUCUGUUUUUACUUUAUAUUUCUUUAAUUUGCAUGUCAAUUUUACAUUGUUAUUUAUGUUGCCAAGUAUAGACUUGAGGUCAUGGUUACCCACAAGGAGGAAUGCACGAAAUUUCUGCUCUAGGACCGUGAAUGCACUGAGUUAAUUGGCCAAUCAGCUAACGAAGUUAAUAGGUUAAAGAUAGCAGAAAGUUCCUACAUAAUCAAACUUCCAAUUUAAAUGUUAUUUUAUCUGGAUUUUUUGCCAUGUGGUCAAUGAAUUCAACAAUUAACCUAUCUUACAUGUUGUAUGCAAGGAUGGUGAUGUUGAUUUGAAUGCUUCACCAGAAGCACUUGAUAAGCUCCUGGGAUAUUCACUUGCGUUUAAAGUGAAGAAAUCCCUAUCUGCAACAGCAGAUCAUGAUCCGCUUCUCAGAGCCCCCUUUACACCAACGAAGUGACAGACACUUUAGGGAUGUGACGAUGAAGCACUAAGUUCUCAGAUUUCACCUACUCAGCUUUCAUCUAACAAAUUAAGAAAACAUGCUAAAAUUGAAUGAAGGUGGCUACUUUCAAGAUGUCCAUACACUUUCUAAGGAGCCUCUUUUUGUGUAGUAUGCCCGUCUAUCGUUCAUGAAACCUUAUCAUAUACUGCCUUUACUAAUUACUAUGUGACUGUUAUGCAAUUUAAAUUGUAUUUUGGAUACCCUAUCAAGUUAAUUAU